rnacentral:rRNA from 1 species
GUUGAACGCUGGCGGCAGGCCUAACACAUGCAAGUCGAGCGGAUGAAGGGAGCUUGCUCCUGGAUUCAGCGGCGGACGGGUGAGUAAUGCCUAGGAAUCUGCCUGGUAGUGGGGGAACGUCCGGCAACGGGCGCUAAUACCGCAUACGUCCUGAGGGAGACAGUGGGGGAUCUUCGGACCUCACGCUAUCAGAUGAGCCUAGGUCUGAUUAGCUAGUUGGUGGGGUAAAGGCAUACCAAAGCGACGAUCCGUAACUGGUCUGAGAGGGUGAUCAGUCACACGGGAAGUGAGACAGGGUCCAGACUCUUAAGGGAGGCAGCAGUGGAGAAUACUGGACGAUGGGGGAAAGGCGGAUACAGCAAUGCCGGGUGUGUGAAGAAGGUCUGAGGAUGGGAAAGCAAAGUAAGUUGGGAGGAAGGGAAGUAAGGUAAUAUGUGGAUGUUAUGACGGUACCAAAAGAAUAAGCACCGGCUAACUACGUG